GGGCUGGGGCUCAGUGGCAGAGCGCUUGCCUAGCAUGCAUGAGGCACUGGGUUCAAUCCUCAGCACCACA
rnacentral:tRNA from 1 species